rnacentral:lncRNA from 10 species
CCAACAUCAAGGCACAGGCAGGUGGCAGGUUUGAUUGUCUGGUGAAGGCUGCCCUCUGCUUCCAAGAUGGACCCUUGUUGUUGCAUUUUCUGGAAAAAAGGAACACUGUGUUCUCAGAUGGCUGAAAGCAGAAGGAACCUCAGGCCAAGUGUUCUUGACAGCUCAUCCACAGACUCCCACUGGUAAAGCAGCAUGAGGAUGGCUUCUGUUAUUUUAUUUCAGAAUUUUUUCCUGCAGUGGCAUGCCAGUACCAGCUGAGGAUCAUGUAUGCAAUAUUUGCCUUCUUUCAUCUUCUACCUAGGAUGGCUUUAAUUCUCUUCGAGGAGAAUUUAUUUUAGUUUUUCCCAGUAAGAGAAUCCACUUCUCUUGCCCAUAUUCAUAAAUUAUCAUUAAAAAUUAAACUUGGUACAAUAAAUAUUAACAUGGUUCCA